rnacentral:rRNA from 1 species
AGUGAACGCUGGCGGUAGGCCUAACACAUGCAAGUCGAACGGCAGCACAGUAAGAGCUUGCUCUUACGGGUGGCGAGUGGCGGACGGGUGAGGAAUACAUCGGAAUCUACUUUUUCGUGGGGGAUAACGUAGGGAAACUUACGCUAAUACCGCAUACGACCUACGGGUGAAAGCAGGGGAUCUUCGGACCUUGCGCGAUUGAAUGAGCCGAUGUCGGAUUAGCUAGUUGGCGGGGUAAAGGCCCACCAAGGCGACGAUCCGUAGCUGGUCUGAGAGGAUGGUCAGCCACACUGGAACUGAGACGCGGUCCAGACUCCUACGGGAGGCAGCAGUGGGGAAUAUUGGACAAUGGGCGCAAGCAUGAUCCAGCCAUACCGCGUGGGUGAAGAAGGCCUUCGGGUUGUAAAGCCCUUUUGUUGGGAAAGAAAAGCAGCAGGUUAAUACCCCGCUGUUCUGACGGUAACCAAAGAAUAAGCACCGGCUAACUUCGUG